rnacentral:rRNA from 1 species
AUUGAACGCUGGCGGCAUGCUUUACACAUGCAAGUCGAACGGCAGCACGGGUGCUUGCACCUGGUGGCGAGUGGCGAACGGGUGAGUAAUGCAUCGGAACGUGCCCAUGAGUGGGGGAUAGCCCGGCGAAAGCCGGAUUAAUACCGCAUACGCCCUUAGGGGGAAAGCGGGGGAUCUUCGGACCUCGCGCUAUUGGAGCGGCCGAUGUCGGAUUAGCUAGUAGGUGAGGUAAAGGCUCACCUAGGCGACGAUCCGUAGCUGGUCUGAGAGGAUGAUCAGCCACACUGGGACUGAGACACGGCCCAGACUCCUACGGGAGGCAGCAGUGGGGAAUUUUGGACAAUGGGCGCAAGCCUGAUCCAGCCAUGCCGCGUGAGUGAAGAAGGCCUCGGGUUGUAAGUACGUCUUUCUA